rnacentral:lncRNA from 10 species
CAUGGUGGAAAGCGAAGGAGCAGCAGGCACAUCUUACAUGAGUUGUGGUCUCACUACAUUGCCCAGGCUUGUCUCGAACUCUUGGACUCAAGCAAUCCACCUGAUUCAGCCUCCCAAAGUGCUGGGAUUACAGGGGUGAGCCUCCACACCCAGCCACGUGUAUGUAUUUGUGUGUGUCUUUAUUGAAGAUCAUUUAUUAAUGAAAGCUUUCUUUACCAUUUACCUGUUGAAGACACGGAGUCAGUUAGUUCUUUCAUUGCUGCUUGCAAAACAGACCAUCUGAUUUUCCUUUGGGCCUCUCUUUCAUAAUAUGUUACCAAAGGCAGCUGGCACACAGCGUUGCAUUCUGUUUCCCUGAUGUCUUCCCUUAGAGCUCAAGGGCACUAGGUAUAUAACACACUUCUUGAGUGGCCACAGGCAACACUCUUAACAUUUUCACUUCUUACAUAACAUGGAGUGCCAUCUUUCCAACCUUCAAUAUUAAUUUCUUCAUCAUCAGUAGGCCUAUUACCAAGCCAAUGCUACGUGUUUUAGGUAUUUACUGAAGCUGGAGAAAGGAGUGUGUUGACUGGUGUCUUGCUUCUCCUAAAGGCUUCAGCCUGACAGUGACACUUUCUGCUUACAUUGCUUGGCCAGAGCAAGACACAUGGUCCUGUUUAACUCCAAAGAGAAGUGCAGCCUUCCAUGUCCCCACCCUGCCCCAAAAGAGGAGAAUUGUAUCAGAGUGAACAACACUAAUGAUUACCUGAAAGGUUUCAUGAUGAGGUGGUAUUAGUGGUCUUUCUUUGUGGUUGUAACAAGCAGCCAGAGACGCAUGGCAGCUAGGUCAGCUCCCUCUCUCACUCUCCUUCUACCCCCGUCCACCUCUCUCUCACCUUCCUUUGUUUCACAAUGCAAUGGACGCUUAUCAUGACACAACCCAACAACUAGAAUAUUAUUAUUAAUCUACACCUACCUCUGUGUUCCUCUAUGUCACUCCAUCCCUCCCUUCUUCCUUAGUUGUUGCCAUUAUCUCAAUUUGUGGUUAAGAUCCUAUUGCUUAAGCUACUUUUUAACAAUCAUGCACACACAUCAUGCAGAUGCCCAAAUAAUAUGUUUAAUUUUUUGUUUUUAAACUAUAUAAAAAUACUAUCAUAUUGUAUAUUGUCUUCUGGUGCUUAUUUUUUCCUAUGACAUUAUGUAACUACUGUUCUCCUGUGCUGUCCCACAUUCAUUUUUGAUGCUAUUGAAUUUACAUUGUAUGAAUAGAUCACAUCUUGUUUUUCCACUCUCCCAUUGCCAUUUGUUUUGUCUCCAGUUUUUUUUCCAAUAAAA